CACAGACGGGGCAAGCGUUGUUCGGAAUCACUGGGCUUAAAGCGGGUGUAGGCGGAAUGGCCAGUGUCUUGUGAAAGCCCUCGGCUCAACCGAGGAAUUGCUGGGCAAACUGUCAUUCUUGAGGCAGGUAGGGGUGCAUGGAACUCUAGGUGGAGCGGUGAAAUGCGUAGAUAUCUAGAGGAACGCCGGUGGCGAAAGCGGUGCACUGGGCCUGACCUGACGCUGAGACCCGAAAGCGUAGGGAGCAAACAGGAUUAGAUACCCCCGUA
rnacentral:rRNA from 1 species